rnacentral:misc_RNA from 1 species
GUGAAUCAUCAAAUUUUUGAACGCAAAUUGCACUCUCUGGUAUUCCGGAGAGUAUGCCUGUUUGAGGGUCAGUUAAAUAAAAAUCGGUGUCUUGUUGCUGCUUUGCGUAGUGACGCAUCGGGUUUGGGUCGUCUUACUUUCGGUUAAGUGACCUAAAAUUUUGCAUGACUUUCGAACGUAUUUUAAUAAUUUACGUACGUAUGUAAUAUCGGUUAUUAGGUUUGAUCAUUGUCAUGAUUCGUGGCUAUAAUUUUUUAUUAA